rfam:Callithrix jacchus chromosome 8, whole genome shotgun sequence
AUAUUCAUUUCUGCAACACACCUGCCAGAAUUGGAACAGCAAGAGAAGACAAGCAUGGCUCCUGCAGGAGAUGACAUGCCGCACUGUGAAGCAUUCCAUGUUUUU